ensembl:snRNA U1 U1 spliceosomal RNA
AUACUCACCUGGCAGAGAAGACACCAUGAUCACACAGGUGGUUUUUCCAGGGCAAGGUUCACCCAUUGCACUCAGGGUGUGCUGACCCUUGCAAUUUCCCCAAAUGCAGGAAAUUUGACUUCAUAAUUUAUCGUAGAAGGGGACCACAUUCACCCUCUCCCCCGA